CAUGCCUUACACAUGCAAGUCGAACGGUAACAGGUCUUCGGACGCUGACGAGUGGCGACGGGUGAGUAAUACAUCGGAACGUGCCCAGUCGUGGGGGAUAACUACUCGAAAGAGUAGCUAAUACCGCAUACGAUCUGAGGAUGAAAGCGGGGGACCUUCGGGCCUCGCGCGAUUGGAGCGGCCGAUGGCAGAUUAGGUAGUUGGUGGGAUAAAAGCUUACCAAGCCGACGAUCUGUAGCUGGUCUGAGAGGACGACCAGCCACACUGGGACUGAGACACGGCCCAGACUCCUACGGGAGGCAGCAGUGGGGAAUUUUGGACAAUGGGCGAAAGCCUGAUCCAGCAAUGCCGCGUGCAGGAUGAAGGCCUUCGGGUUGUAAACUGCUUUUGUACGGAACGAAAAAGCUCCUUCUAAUACAGGGGGCCCAUGACGGUACCGUAAGAAUAAGCACCGGCUAACUACGUGCCAGCAGCCGCGGUAAUACGUAGGGUGCAAGCGUUAAUCGGAAUUACUGGGUGUAAAGCGUGCGCAGGCGGUUAUGUAAGACAGAUGUGAAAUCCCCGGGCUCAACCUGGGAACUGCAUUUGUGACUGCAUGGCUAGAGUACGGUAGAGGGGGAUGGAAUUCCGCGUGUAGCAGUGAAAUGCGUAGAUAUGCGGAGGAACACGAUGGCGAAGGCUAUCCCCUGGACCUGUACUGACGCUCAUGCACUAAAACGUGGGGAGCAAACAAGAUUAGA
rnacentral:rRNA from 1 species